AUGAAAAUAGAAAAUAAAACAAAGAAAUUGGAAAGGGAUUAGGGUUACGUUACUUAGUGACGUUCCCAAUUCCCUCUGCUUCUUCCUCUUCACUCUCAAGCGUUAAAACGGCUGCGAACUCAACGGCGGCGAUAAUCCGCUCAUUCCGAUCAGCUCUCUCUACCACCGUGAAUCGACAAAACAACACCACCUCGUUUCGCUGACUCAAGAACUUAGCGCCAUUCGCACUCUCUCGGUCUAUUUCAAACGCGAAUCACAAUGAGAAAAUCCAGAUGAUCCGCUUCCGAUUCAGGCAUGAACAUCUUGCACGAUACACUUCUUUUCUUCUCUUUCUAUUGAACUUUGUGAAUUCUUUGUUUUCGAGGUUGUUGUGUUGAGUAGCGUAAAGCUCGGUUUGCUUCAGAAUUCAAGGCGAGCUUUGAGCAAUUUUGAUUAUGGCCUUUUGUAUGAGGAAGGUGGAGGAGAGAAAUUGAAGGAAGGAGAUGGUUCAGAGAUCGAGAUGAAGAGGUGAGAGCGUGGUUAUCUUUGAGGGAAGCAAUUGGAGGUUGGUUCGAAGUAGAGAAAAUGAUGGAGAUUGAAGAAGGUGGAAGAUGAAGUUUGAAGAGUGAGAAUGGUGAAGGACUGAAAUGAGAUGAUUGCGGUGGAGAAGCUGAAUGAAGAAAUGGUCGAGAAGUGGUGAUUGAAGAACAAUGGUCAUGAAGUGGAGAGCCCAGAAUUAGAGGGAAGUUCCGAAUAUAUAGGUUAGUGGCAUUGAUGAUACGGAUGUGUUGCGGCCAGUGUACCGAAUCCUAGUUGAUGAGCAGGUGCCUCUGUUUUUUGUAGGUUAUUUUCUGUUAUGAAUGAAAGUAUGGGGCUGCAGGGUUUGCGGUGUUGUUACUUGUUGAAAAACGUUGGCGAUUCGAAGGUUGUCGUCGAGUUGUGAUCCUUUCUUUUUUGCUGUGUGAAAAUGGAGUCCGAAUGAGUAGUUUUAUGAAGGAUGCUGCUACUUGCUGGAAGUUGAAAUGUGUAGGGCUAUUAUAUUCCUUUUUUUUUUACACAAGCAUUAGCAUGGUAGUGCUCUUGAAGCCAAGACGAAGUCGAGUUUAGAAGAACUAGUCUGAAAGUUAUCUCUGUGCAAUGCAGUGGCUAGUAUAGUGUAAAUUAGAUCGGAUUUUGUAAUAGAUAAUGAGCUUGAACAUGUUGUAUGAACUUGGAAUGGCAUCAUGAUGUAACUGUAUUGGGAUUUCUUUUGUAAUUUAGUGAGCAUGGAUUGAAAUGUUGUAAUAAAAACCCUUUUUUUGCA